AUGUGGUCGCUUCCUGGCUCCAUCGGAUGGUCACGAUCGCUGCAUCUCGUGCCUGAUUCGGCUGCGUUGCCUCCUUCUGGGAGAGCGGCGUUGCCCGAGUCAGAUCCAGAGCUGACUGCUAUGCUUGCCCGGGCCGCCAAGAGCGUCGGGCUGCCAUGGAAGGCCCCUCCAUCUCCCGAACACUCAAGGCUGGACAAUUGGUUCUUGGGAGUGCCGCAUGCAGAUCCGGUUCCAUUCUUCCCGGAAGUGCAUGAGGAGGUUACUAGGUCCUGGAGGGCACCUUUUUCUGACCGAAACAGAUCUAGUGCCUCCUCCGUCCUCACUACCCUGGACGGCGGGGCGGCUAAGGGGUAUGUGGAGAUCCCCCCAGUUGAGCGCGCUAUUGCGAUGCAGCUUUGCCCGCAAAGCGCUGCCUCCUUGAGGGGUAAUCCACGCCUCCCGUCCUGGGCCUGUAAGUUCUCGUCCGCACUGACGGCCAAGGCUUACGGAGCUGCCGCCUCUUCCCUGCACGCCAUGGCCUUCCUGCAGGUCUACCAGGCCAAGGCGUUAAAGCAGCUGCACGAGGGUAGUUCUGACCCAGGUGUCAUGCAGGAGCUGCGCACUGCGACGGACCUUGCCCUACGGGCGACGAAAGUCACAGUGCGGUCCCUGGGUCAGACGAUGUCCGUGCUAGUGGUCCAGGAAUGCCACCUUUGGCUUACCCUGGCAGAUAUGAGGGAGUCCGACAAGCACCGCUUCUUGGACUCCCUGAUCUCCCAGGCUGACCUUUUCGGUGAUGCGGUGGAGAGCUUCGCCCAACAGUUCUCCACCGCGCAGAAGCAGACGGAGGCGAUCAAGCACAUCCUGCCCCAGCGGCCCACUGCUGCCGUCACCCAGCUGCCGACCGCAGCCCCUCCGCCUGCUCAUCACCGAGGGCGCCCUCCUGCUGCCUCCACCUCCGCUCCAGCCCGGCCUCAGCAGCAGCCUUCAUGGCCACGGCAUGGAGCUGGCACCAGGAAAGCAGCGUAG
ensembl:lncRNA